rnacentral:rRNA from 1 species
ACGCUGGCGGCGUGCUAAUACAUGCAAGUCGAACGCACAGCGAAAGGUGCUUGCACCUUUCAAAGUGAGUGGCGAACGGGUGAGUAACACGUGGACAACCUGCCUCAAGGCUGGGGAUAACAUUUGGAAACAGAUGCUAAUACCGAAUAAAACUCAGUGUCGCAUGACACAAAGUUAAAAGGCGCUUUGGCGUCACCUAGAGAUGGAUCCGCGGUGCAUUAGUUAGUUGGUGGGGUAAAGGCCUACCAAGACGAUGAUGCAUAGCCGAGUUGAGAGACUGAUCGGCCACAUUGGGACUGAGACACGGCCCAAACUCCUACGGGAGGCUGCAGUAGGGAAUCUUCCACAAUGGGCGAAAGCCUGAUGGAGCAACGCCGCGUGUGUGAUGAAGGCUUUCGGGUCGUAAAGCACUGUUGUAUGGGAAGAACAGCUAGAAUAGGGAAUGAUUUUAGUUUGACGGUACCAUACCAGAAAGGGACGGCUAAAUACGUGCCAGCAGCCGCGGUAAUACGUAUGUCCCGAGCGUUAUCCGGAUUUAUUGGGCGUAAAGCGAGCGCAGACGGUUGAUUAAGUCUGAUGUGAAAGCCCGGAGCUCAACUCCGGAAUGGCAUUGGAAACUGGUUAACUUGAGUGCAGUAGAGGUAAGUGGAACUCCAUGUGUAGCGGUGGAAUGCGUAGAUAUAUGGAAGAACACCAGUGGCGAAGGCGGCUUACUAGACUGUAACUGACGUUGAGGCUCGAAAGUGUGGGUAGCAAACAGGAUUAGAUACCCUGGUAGUCCACACCGUAAACGAUGAACACUAGGUGUUAGGAGGUUUCCGCCUCUUAGUGCCGAAGCUAACGCAUUAAGUG